CCUCUUUUGUGUUUUCCUGCAGGAAGCAGCCAUGGCCAAACUCGCCGCGUCAGAAGCCGCCACAUUCUGCUCUCAUCAGGCGAUCCAGGUUCUGGGUGGGAUGGGCUACGUGUCAGACAUGCCCGCUGAGAGGCACUACCGCGACGCUCGCAUCACAGAGAUCUACGAGGGCACGAGUGAGAUCCAGAGGCUGGUGAUCGCCGGCCAGAUCCUGAAGGAAUACCAAGCAUAGACGCCGCACGCCACAAUAUGGACGAGUAAUAAUCACGCACACUGGGACAUCACCUCAUUCAUUCAGAUUUCAAAGGAGCCGCGUUGAUCGGGUGAGACCUCAUUUGAGUUUCACGUGAUUGUGCGUGCCCGUUACCUCCGCCGUCUCGUGUGUCGUACUACAGGAGACGCCACUUACUGUUUGGAAAAGAGCGCCGGUGACUUCAACAGCGCCUUCCUGAAAAGUUGAGUGAUUUUCAAUUUGACGGAUGGAGCGGAUGGAGCGCUCAGAAAAAAGACGCUGGCGUUUGAUUUUUCUCAAGGCGGCUGCUUUCUCCUGAGAACGAUCUCAGACGCUGGCGCUCAGAAAAAAAAAAA